rnacentral:rRNA from 1 species
AGAGCGCAAGGGGAAUGCCUUGGCAUCAGGAGCCGACGAAGGACGUGACAAGCUGCGAUAAGCUACGGUGAGGAGCAAAUAUCCUGUGACCCGUAGAUUUCCGAAUGGGGCAACCCGGCUGGACAAUAUCCAGUCAUUCUGCAUUGAAUCAAAUAGGUGUAGGAAGGGAACCGCCUGAACUGAAACAUCUAAGUAGGGCGAGGAAAAGACAUCAACCGAGAUUCCGCAAGUAGUGGCGAGCGAACGCGGAAGAGGCCAAACCGGAGGAUUUAUUCUCCGGGGUUGCGGACAGCUAUACGGAACAAUAGUUUAGCCGAACGGUCUGGGAAGGCCGGUCACAGAGGGUGAGAACCCCGUAGGCGAAAGACGAAUUGUUUCAGGCUGGAUCCAGAGUACCGCAGGACACGUGAAACCCUGUGGGAAACAGGGGGGACCACCCUCCAAGCCUAAAUACUACCUGAUGACCGAUAGAGGAGCAGUACCGUGAGGGAAAGGUGAAAAGGACCCCGGGAGGGGAGUGAAAGAGAACCUGAAACCUUGUGCUUACAAGCAGUCAAAGCACGUUAAAGUGUGAUGGCGUACUUUUUGUAGAACGGUCCGGCGAGUUAUAGUAACGAGCAAGCUUAAGGUAUUCAGUACCGGAGGCGAAGCGAAAGCGAGUCUGAAUAGGGCGCAUGAAGUUCGUUGCCAUAGACCCGAAACCGGGUGACCUACGCAUGAGCAGGUUGAAGUGGGGGUGAAACCCCAUGGAGGACCGAACCAACCCCCGUUGCAAUGGUGGUGGAUGACUUGUGCGUAGCGGUGAAAUUCCAAUCGAACUCGGAGAUAGCUGGUUCUCCCCGAAAUAGCUUUAGGGCUAGCGUUAGUUUAGAUUACCGGAGGUAAAGCACUGAAUGGUUUAGGGGCUGAUAAAGUUACCGACGCCUAUCAAACUCUGAAUGCCGGAUAAUUGAUGACUAGCAGUCAGACAGUGUGAGAUAAGUUUCAUUGUCAAAAGGGAAACAGCCCAGACCUACAGCUAAGGUCCCAAAUGUAUGCUAAGUGGAAAACGAUGUGGAAUUGCGAAAACAACCAGGAUGUUGGCUUAGAAGCAGCCACACAUUAAAAGAGUGCGUAAUAGCUCACUGGUCGAGUGACUCUGCGCGGAAAAUGUAACGGGGCUAAGCAUACAACCGAAGCUUAGGAUUGUCUAAAGACAGUGGUAGGGGAGCGUUCUGUAUGGGGUGAAGUCGCAGCGAGAGCAGCGGUGGACUGUACAGAAGUGAGAAUGCCGGAAUGAGUAGCGAGAAUUAUGUGGGAAUCAUAAUGGCCGAAAAUCUAAGGUUUCUUGGGGAAGGUUCGUCCGCCCAAGGUAAGUCGGGAGCUAAGCUCAGGCCGCGAGGCGUAGGCGAUGCACAUACGGUAGAAAUUCCGUAACCACCGAACUUUAAGCAUGAGGGACACUUUGAGAUAGCGGAACCCGGGCGUUGGUUGACCCGGGCGAAAGGGACCGAAAUAUAGUAGGGAAGUCCGCGAUGCUUGGAGGCGAGAAAAGCUCAUGUGUAUACUAAGGUGCCCGUACCGCAAACCGACACAGGUAGAUGAGGAGAGAAUCCUAAGGCCAACGGGAGAAGGGUUGUUAAGGAACUCGGCAAGAUGACCCCGUAACUUCGGAAGAAGGGGAGCCUCGAAAGAGGCCGCAGUGAAUAGGCCCAAGCAACUGUUUACCAAAAACACAGGUUUAUGCUAAAUCGAAAGAUGACGUAUAUGAGCUGACGCCUGCCCGGUGCCGGAAGGUUAAGAGGAGAUGUCAACCGCAAGGUGAAGCAUUGAAUUGAAGCCCCGGUAAACGGCGGCCGUAACUAUAACGGUCCUAAGGUAGCGAAAUUCCUUGUCAGGUAAGUUCUGACCCGCACGAAAGGCGUAAUGAUUUGGGCACUGUCUCAACAGCCCGCCCGGCGAAAUUGUAGUACUGGUGAAGAUGCCAGUUACCCGCAACUAGACGGAAAGACCCCAUGGAGCUUUACUGCAGCUUAAUACUGGAAUUCGGUAAAUCAUGUACAGGAUAGGUGGGAGACUAGGAAGCAUUGGCGUCAGCCAGUGUGGAGUCGCUGGUGGGAUACCACUCUUGAUUUGCUGGGUUUCUAACCUGCGGCCGUGAAUCCGGUCGGGGGACACUGUUAGGCGGGCAGUUUGACUGGGGCGGUCGCCUCCAAAAGAGUAACGGAGGCGCUCA